AAGGGACUCCUAGGUUCCACCCAGUGAGUCAGAGGACCCCAUAAAGACAGGGGAAUAGACUGCCCAUUAUAAGUGGACACUUUCCAGGAGGAUGCAUGAAGUCAGGCAGCUGUAGAUUGUCACUUAGCUGGAUGCCAAAACCAUAAAACAAGCUACUCAUAGAAUCAGGAGGUGGAUAUGCUCAUUGGACACAUGAGGUAAGGAUUGACCAACAGAGCCAGUACCAGACUCACAGCCCAUCACCAAUUUAUUCACAGUCUCUCUUCAUGCAAAUAUUCUUUGGCCUUUCUGACACAGAUUUAAGUCAGGUUUGAGAGUAGGAGGAAAAGGGAGUUUGGGAAAAGAGAUCAUGGAAAUGUUUGAAUAUGAUGGUAGUCACUCAGGGAACACUAGGUUUUAGUCUGGAAGUGACUGGAAAAACGGGAGUACAUUUAUAAAAUCACUACUGAUUGAGAUUGGGACCAGGUCAAAGAAAACCAAGAACAAUUCUAAAAUAAAUAUAUAAAGGAGUUUUAUAUUUACCCAUAGCUUAAUGUUGAUAGUAUAAUUUUGAGCUCUUAAUACCCAAUAAUGUACAUUGUAGUAGAGUGCUUUAUAAACAAAUACCUUAUUUGUCACUAAUAAAAUAGUAAUUGUGUUUCCGUGCUAAGAAAUAAAAUAUUCAAAUAUGUCUCCCUCUGAGAUUAAGUUUAGGUACUGUCUUGGCAGUUCAUUAAUGCUCCAGUAAUCUCUAAGGCCCGAAUACAGUUAUCACACAAACUUAUGAAUUAAGUCAUUCAUGAUAUGCUCACAACCAUCUGGCUCAUACCUUUGCAAUCUGAAAACAAAGUUAGAUACUGACAUUCCUCCUCCCAUUCUCAGUCUUAAAAUUGAAGCUUAGGAGUUCCUGUCAUGGCUCAGCAGAAAGGAAUCUGACUGGCAUCCAUGAGGACAUAGGUUCGAUCCCUGGGCUUGCUCAGUGGGUUAAAGAUCCGGCAUUGCUGUGAGCUAUGGUGUAGGUCACAGACACAGCUAGGAUCCCAUGUUGCUGUGGCUCUGGUGUAGGCCAGCAGCUACAGCUCAUAUUCAACCCCUAGCCUGGGAACCUCCAUAUGCUACAGGUAACUUGUGCCAUGUUCUGCCUGAUAUUUUAGGCAAUCAGAAAAUAUUAAUUAAUCCAGCACCAGAGGGAAGAACGAUAGCACAAUAUUUCCAGGAUCAUUUCCUGCCUGACAUCUUCAUAUUAAUCACUUUUUGCAUAUGUGUUGACUGACAUGAUUUCGAAACAAACCAAACUUUAUAAUUCUUGCCUUCAAAUUUGAGUUAUUUGUCAUUGAAGAUCGUAUCCCUAAAUUGUUAUUUCCAAACUGGAUUUUUUCGCCAUCUGUUGUAUGAAAAAAGAAGUGCGUAGAAGUCUACAAAUCUUUUUGGUUCAAAAUUGCAUGUUUCUCUCUAUCAUGACAGUUCCUAAGCUAUGUUCUGUCUCUUUUUAAGUCUAUUUCUGAUCUCUUGUUCCUGUUCAAAUUGAUCCUGCACAGGUCAGUCUGACCCAUAAAUGACACAAAAUUGUUUUUGAGGUUUGAAAUCUUAAUAUCAGAUAAUGUCUAAAUCCGCCAUGAAAUUUUGCUUCAUGCUUUUUGUUCCACAGUAAUUACCACCUUCAUCAUCAUAUUCAAGUUUUGGUAGAUUAAGCUGCUUUAAAAAAUACCGAGAGAAAACGUAUUUUUUAAACUACAUAGUUUAUUUUUAUUUUUUGGAAAUUGAUUACUGAUACUUACACCUAAAGGGAGACUUCCAUGAUUUUUAUUUUCUUCUUUAUCCAAAAAGAGAUGGCAUUGUUGUAAAUGCCUGUUGCUGAUGUAGGGUGCCCUCAAUUCUCAUUCUUGAACAUGAGCAACAUCUUCUAGGUUAGAAAAUUUCCCCAAUAUCUUCGAAUACAUGAAGUCAGUCAUUGAAACCCUUUCUUUAACCAUCAAGUGAGGAUGUGAUGGUCUGGUUAUCUCUAGGUUCGAAACUACAAAUUUAGCUUCUAAUCCAGUUUCCACUUAAUAUCUGAGUGACCUGGGACAUAUCAUUUUAACCUUCUGUGUCUUAUUUUAUGUUAUAAAAAUGAUGAUAUAAUAUCAGUCACUCAAAGUGUAUUAAAUUCAAUGAGUAAAAAAUGGCUGAAUUGUGGUUAGUAUUCCAAAACUUAACUUUUCUUCCUUUGCUUAUCUUAACUAUAGAACAUAUUUUAUGCCAGAAUCUAUCAACCUCAUAUUUAGAUGUGAUUUAUUUUUCCAGAAAUUCUUUGAACGCCUUGGUAUCAGCUUCUACCAAUGUCUGAAUGUUAAAAUUUUGCUCCAUGAGCAUCCAGGGCCCCGGAAUUUGUGUGAGGCAAGGACCCACAGAGCAAAGUUGCAGCCAAGAAAAUACUGUUUCUUCAGGCAUGACAUCUGUCCAGAUGUCACAGAUGCCUUUGAAUGAGUACUUCAUACCCACCCCCUAGGAAUACUAGAGCUGUCUCCCUACAGAGAAAGGAAAUCAAGUGCUAAGAGUCAGCAUAAUGUGUCCACAUAUGGACAGAUCCUCCAUUUAAAAAAAAAAAAUCUGGUUAAUCUAAAAUACAAUACAUAUCAACUAUCUAUGAAACAAAAAGAUGCACAGACAUAGAGAACAGACUUGUGGUUGCCAAGGAAUAGGGAGUUGGGGGAGGGAUGGAUGGGGAGGUUGGGAUUAGCAGAUGCAAACAUUAUCUAUAGAAUGGAUAAACAGCAAGUCCUACUACAUAGCACACAAAAAAACUGGAUUCAAUAUCCUGUGAUAAACUAUGAUGGGAAAUAAUAUUGAGAAGGAAUGUAUAUGUAUGUAUAACUAAAUCACUUUGCUGUACAGUGGAAAUUAACACAACAUUGUAAAUCAACUAUACUUCAAUAAAACACAUUUUUUUUUUAAUCCAGUUACUCUGUUUCCAAUGAGACUUUAUAGCUAGGCUGUACUGAAGCUGUAGAAAGUACAAUUGUGAACUUACUCUCAGUAUUUAAGGCACAUCUUAAGUGUGUGCUUAUUAUCAGUAUUUAAGACAUGUCUGCUUAUCCUCACUGUCACCUGUCUGUUCAAAAGAAAAAGUAUCGAAGGGCUAUGCCUUUAUUUGAAAGUCAAAUGUAUUUCUGUAUCUUUACCACAUCAAUUUAUUUAAAGAUUUAAUUCCCCAAAGCCAAAAUGACAAAAUCCACAGCUUAGAGUCAUUUAUUAAAAUUUAAAGCCACAGCUUAAAUUAAGAGAGCUGUUAGGGGACCCUGUAGUUCAUGAUUUGAAGACAAUUAUUUAUUUAUUCUGCAGGAAUAACACUGCUAAUUUUAAAAUGUUCCUUCUUUGCCUUUAAUGUAUAGUAACUGUAAUCAUAGAAUUUUUCUGAAGUCUUUUUCUGCUGUUUGGUGAAUCACAUAGCAGAUAUAAACCCACCCCUUCC
rnacentral:lncRNA from 1 species